rnacentral:lncRNA from 1 species
UUUUUUAUUUGUCAAAAUGAAUAGGAAUAGCAGGGUGCCUUUAAAGUAUAAUCGAAAGAGUUGGUAAAUUUUAAUAUACUUCUGAAAGAAUCAUCAUCCUUUUGUCAUUAUCUUUUUCAUGUAUUGAACAACAGAUUUGCACAUAUGUAUUUUUACCAUCAGUAACAGCUCUUUAUUAACGGAUAGUAUAUUGUUCUGCUUUUAUGUAGGGGGAUGUUGAGUUGUAAGAAGACCAGAUGCAUCUGCUCUGAUUUUAGUGGCAUGUAUAACUAUAACCUGUCAAAGAGCAGCAAAAGAAAUGCCUCGUAGCUGUGUGAUACAUAACUUUGCCAGGAUAUCUCUCUGUUUAUGCACACAGACUGCUAUGGCAUUUUUAACCGUUUGCUCAGUUGCUCUUACGUGCAUUUCUGCUGGCAUAAGAUGGUGGCAUGGUGGAGGUUCUGUUGUUAAACCCUGGUAUCAGGACUUGAUCGAGCAAUUUGGUAUGUUCGGUGAAAAUUCAUGCUCAUUUGAGUGAUUGUACAGUACUCCGAAGUUGGUGUUUUCUAUGCUCCGGUAAUUGUGGAUCACUGGUAUAAUGAGGAAAUCAACCUAACGUAUAAUUGCCAUGGUCUGUAUUUGUGUGUAUGUGGAGACUGGUGUGUGUACUAAUUUUCUGGAAUGUCAUUUAAUCAGAAGAGUUGUUUAGAAGAGGCAUAGGCAAAUUCUCUUGUAAGGCUUAUGUAGUUCGAGUGUUUAACAUGGUUAUAACAGUAGUGUUUUCUAUGACGACAUUUAUGAUUAAACUGUGUCUACAAUUCCUGCCUUUUGUGCAGAAAAAGAAAAGCACUGAUAAAACAUCCUAGAGUUGAGUGCAUUGCGCUGCUGCGACUGAUUCUAAAAGCUUGACAGCAAGAGUUAGAAUAGAGCAAUAUUCUGCAUAAUUUUCCUGCAUCUGUGAAUUUUGCUACUCUUGUACUCCCUCCGUCCCAAAAUAUAACAAUUUUUACUUAGAUGGGAUGUAUCAUAUUACUACGAAUCUAGAUAUGAGACAUGUCCAAAUUCAUAGUAGUAGGAUAUGUCCCAUCUUAAAAAAAUAUAUAUUAUAUUUUGGGAGGGAGAGAGUAAAACAUGUGCUCGGGUGUGCAAACCUGACAGCCAUUAUGGCUCUGAUAACUCAUGCUCCCUCCGUCUCACGAUAUAAGGGAUUUUCAGUUUUUGCUUGUAACGUUUGACCACUCGUCUUAUUCAAAUUUUUUUUGCAAAUAUAAAAAAUAAAAAGUUGUGCUUAAAGUACUAUAGAUAAUAAAGUAAGUCACAAAUAAAAUAAUUAAUAAUUUCAAAAAAAUUUGAAUAAGAUGAGUGGUCAAACGUUACAAGCAAAAACUCAAAAUCUCUUAUAUUAUGGGACGGAGGGGGUAGUUGCUAUGCCUAUAUUUUGUCGGGUGAGCUGGUGGUGGUACGUUUGGUUUAGGGUUUAGAGCUGACUCUGGUGGAGACCCUUUCGGGACGUUGCAUCAGCUACAGCCUACAGGGUUGCGCGUUUGUUGGGCCGAAUAUUGAAGUGCGUGGGCCGUGGGCCGUGGCCAGGACGGCGGAUGGAUCAUCCUCGUGACGUAUCUCUUCCCCUCGACCAACAAUUAACGAGUUGCGGGUGGCGGCGUUGAAGCAGCUGGACUUUUUUUUUUUUUUUGCUAUAUAUAGGGCAUGUUUGGCACAAGCUUCAGCUCCACCUCUCUUAGAGCUGGAGCUCAGCCAAACAGUUUUAGCUCCACCUAAAAUGGGAGCAGAGCUGGGUGGAGCUCUCACAAAAUAAACUAGAGUUGUGGAGCUGGGUUUAGACAGCUCCACAACUCCACUCCAGACCCAACUCCUAGAGCUAAAUUUAGGAGUUGGAGCUCUAUCAAACAGGCCCAUAAAGUCAAUUUUGCUAUAUCUCACUCGAAAGAUUUCUUUUAUCUCUCACUCAAAUUUACAGUGUAUUUUCUUGUAAUUUAUGAAAUUUACAUGGUAACUUUUGUUUUGAAAUUUAUAUUGGAUUUGGUCUUUUUCUCGAAGAUAUGGUAAUUUAGUAUCCAUUAUGAUGUUUCUUAGUUGCUUUUUGCUUUUUACUAUGUCUAUUGGAUUUUAAUCUAAAAAUUUAAAAUAUGUGUGAAAAGAUUUAUAGCUACUCCCAUAUAAAGUUCUAUUUUUCUAACUUGCUGAUCUUGAGAUUUUUUUUCAUCGAAAUUUAUUUUUCAACAUUUGCUUUUAGAUCGCUAAGAACACAUAUAAAAGUUUUAUUUACAAAUUAUUUUUUGCUUGCAAAUAUGUCGGGCCCUUUUUUUGUUUUUGUUUUUAUCUUUAUAAUAUUCGUUGCAGUUUGCAAAACACGGGAAUUUAGAUAGUUAUGUAAAAGAUGUCAAAGAGACAUGAUGCGGUCUGACAGUCCAACGUAAGGAAGCUUCGUAGCGCAACUAUGGGGAUGUUCAUAAAUCUAGGUGAAAAGUUUUACCGUGUCACAUCGGAUAUAUGAGCACAUAUUUAAAUUAUUAAACAUAGUCUAAUAAUAAAACAACCUAUAGAUUCCGUCCGUAAACUGCGAGACGAAUUUAUUAAGCCUAAUUAAUCCAUCAAUAGUAAAUGUUUACUGUAGCACUACAUUAUCAAAUCAUGGAGCAAUUAAGCUUAAAAGAUUUGUCUCGUAAACUAGUCGCAAUUUGUGCCAUUAGUUAUUUUUUAGCCUAUAUUUAAUAUUUUAUGCAGGUAUUUAAACGUUCGAUGUGACAGGGCGAAAAAUUAUAAGGCGGGAUCUAAACAUGGCCUAUAUCAGUUGGCAUCGCACGUUUACAUCCUCGAGCAGUAGCACUGCAUGUCUGCAUGGCAGCUGGAGCAUCACUCGCCGGCAUCUACGUGCGCUUGAGCGAAUGCGUCCGGCAAUAUUAUGGAGUAAAAGAUUGCUUAUGUUGCCCCUCUUUGAUCAAAAAAUAGUUGGGUGUUUGGCUUAGGUAAAGUUGGUUUUAAAUUUUAGAAAUAAUUUUAAGGACCUUUCGGAAAACACAAGUACACAGAACAACCAGAACACAAGUAGAAAAGGCCACAUGAACCAGCUUUUAUAGAAAAAAACCAAAACAGGGUCACAACCACUUGAACGUUCACUGGAGAGGAGAGAUUCCCCAUCUAAAUUUCCAUUAAGGUCCUGUUUAGUUUUAAAGUUUUUUUUUUCCAAACUUUCAAUUUUUCAUCGCAUCAAACCUUUCAUACACCACUGGUGGACAAACCAUCUUUGGUCGGUCGACCAAAUCCCACAAUAGCCCUGGUUCCAUUAAAACCGGGACUAAAAACGAUUUUUAGUCCCGGUUAAAAAAAUUUUGAUCUUUAGUCCCGGUUGGUAACACCAACCGGAAUUAAAGAUGAUUUUUAGUCCCGGUUCAUCCCCUGUCAGAUGUAUGUUAGGGGGUCGAGGAUCUUUAGUCCCGGUUUAUACUACCAACCGGGACUAAAGAUUACCACUUUAGUCCCGGUUGGUAAAGAUCGAUUGAUCUUUACUCCCGGUUGGUGAUACCAACCGGGACUAAAGAUCGAUCUUUACUCCCGGUUGUAGUUAUCAACCGGGAGUAAAUAUUUCUCUCCCACAUCUGAUCGGUUAAGUCCAAACAGAUAGUUAGAUAAGAUUGGAAAUCCCCUCUAUUCCUCUUCUCAGAUCCAAUCCUCUUCCUCCUCCUCUCCCCUCUCUUCCUUCCCUCCUCCCCUUCCUCUUCUCUUCCUCCCCUCUCCUUCCUCCCAUCAGCCGGCCCUUCCUCCUCCCCUCUACUCCCUCUUCCAUCAGCCGGCCGACGGCGGGCGGUGGCGGCGGGCAGGAGGCGGGUGGCGGCGGCGCGGCCGCACGCGUGAAGGCGGGCGGCGGGCGGUGGGCGCGCGCGUGGAGGCUGGCGGCCGGCGGGCGGCGGCGGUGGGCAGGCGGCCGGCGGCGGCGGCUGCUGCGCGCGGGCAGUCGGCUGCUCGUUUGCUUUUUUUUUUUUGUAAUUUGUGUUUCAUUGGAUCUAUAAUUUUUUAGAUGUUGUGAUUCAUUGCAUCACAUGGAUCUGAGAUGUAUAAUUUGUAUAAUCUGUGAUGUAUUUAAUUUGUGUGUAGUUUUUUAGGAUUUGUGAUGUAUUUGAUCUGUGUGUAGGAUUUGUGAUGUAUUUGAUCUUAAUAUUUAGGAUGUUGAUUUGGAGAUAUGCAUCCCAUUUGAUUCGGGAGAAAAUACAGGGAUUAACACUAGCCAUUAGCAAAUCAACAAUAAAAUAAAAUAAAAAAGAUCUCGAGGUCUUUAGUCACCAACCGGGACUAAAGAUUCCCCCUCUUUACUCCCGGUUGGUGUUACCAACCAGGACUAAAGAUCGAUCUUUAGUCCCGGAUUCGUAGUCCCGGUUAGAAAACCGGGACUACAAAGGGUUCUAAACCGGGAGUAAAAAGCAUUUUUCCACCAGUGCACACACAAUUUUUCUAUCACAUCGUACCAAUUUCAACCAAACUUCCAAACUUCAGUGUGAACUAAACACAGUCUAAAUAAAGAACAAGAGAUUACACAGCAGUAAUUCUAAAAAAAAAUUACACAGCAGGAAGUUUUCUAGCGGAGUUUAGCGAAUCUGCCAUUACAUAAAAUCAAAUACAAGAAGAUAAAUAUAAAGAGGUGACGUGUGAUUAAUUGAGUUUUACUCCCUCCAUUCCAAAAUAUAAGACACAACCACUCUAAACUCAAAGACCAAAAAACCAUUAUUAUCACCUCUUUGUUUGAAUAAUCUUAACUAAUACAAUGCAUGCACCCAAUAGAAUUAAGCAUCUUGAUUUAAAAACAAUAAUUUAGAAGAGAGAAUAUGCUAUUAAUUGUCAUGCAUACAUGCACGCCUUAUAUUAUGAAACACCUUUAAAAAGUAGUUGCGCCCUAUAUUUUAGAACAGAGGGAGUAAUAUUUUAGAAUAACUUUCAUAUAAAAAGUUUUCGCACAAAAUACAUCGUUUAGCAAUUUGAAAAGCGUGCCAUGAAAAUCUUAAUCUUCGGCCAAGUUUAGUUCUAAAUUUUUUCUUCAAACUUUCAACUUUUUCAUCACAAACUUCCCUACACACAUAAAUUUUCAACUUUUUCAUCACAUCGUUUCAAUUUCAACCAAACUUUCAAUUUUGGCGUGAACUAAACACAACCUUCAUCUAACUCUUGUUGAAGGAAAGAACUGAAGCUUAGUACUAAACUUGUCUUGGGAAUGUAGGAAUCGAUUUUUUUAAGGGACGGAGGGAGUACGUUCACACAUUACAUUAUUGCAGCUCUGCCUCCACUGUACUCCUCCAUUGCACACCUGCCAGAAAUGCAUGUCUAGCACGCAGUCACGCACACAUGUAGUAGUACAACCAGACAUUCCAUGCAAAGUAUAAUCCCCAAACUGCCUUCGUUCGAGAUUCCAGCGACCAGCGGUACAGAGCGCGGAACUGGCGUUGACCAUAUUCCGAUCCAUUUCGAAUGCCUAAAGAUCUGACCACAGGGUGACAGGGGGGACAGAGAUCAGUUGGCCAGGAAACCACGGUGUUAACUUCUCCUGACGUGGAGUUCUCGGGCCUUGUGCGAUCUCAUGUGUUCAUCUCCGUUUUUGAGCAAGUUUAAUAGUAUAGCCAACUAGAAUCUCUAAUUUAUCUAUAGUCAAUUUAAUAGUUCAUUCAUACAAUAGUUACAUACUACACUAUUAAUACUUGAUCCCACCUAUCAUAUACAUACUGUGUUUUGAAGUCCGUGCUACAGCUGGCUACAAAUCUGUAGCCAACUGCUCUUCUCUCUCCUUAUUUACUACCUCCGUCCCAAAAUAAGUGCAGCCGUGGAUAUCCGUACCCAACGUUUGACCGUUCGUCUUAUUUGAAAAAUUUGUGAAAAAAUUAAAAAUAUUUAGUCACACAUAAAGUACUAUUCAUAUUUUAUCAUUUAAUAUCAAUAAAAAUACUAAUCAUAGAAAAUUUCAAAUAAGACGAACGGUCAAACGUUGAACGUGAAUAGUGCAAAACUGCACUUAUUUUGGGACGGAGGGAGUAUCUUCUUAGAAUAUGUUUAUAGCCGGCUUAUAGCCUGCUAUUGUACCUACUCUAACUAGCAAGUUUAUAGUGUAGCUAACUACUGACUUUGAAUAAUUUAUAGUCAAUUUAAUAGCCAAUUCAUAAAAUAGUUACAUAUAAGUAUAUACUACGUAAUUAAUAUUUGGUCACACCUAUCAUAUCAUACACAUGCAUUUAGGAGUUUGUUCUGCAGUUGGCUACAAUGUAGCCAGCUGCUCUUCUCACCAGCCAUCUUCAACCCUCCAUGUCAUCAAGUAUCCAUAACAUUUAAUACAUUGACAUAUAAGAAAAAUAUGUGAUGCACUACAAGAAAAAUACUCUGUAUAGACAUUUUUCUAGUACUGUAGAGGCACUUAUCAAAUGCCUUUACAACAAUGUAGAGGCAUUUUAAAAAAUGUCUAAUAAGUGUCUUAUGGUGAAUUGUCUCUACAAACGAAGAGACAUUUUAUAAAAUGUCUAUAAGAUGGUAGAGGCAUUUUUUAGAGACACUAAAUUGUACCGCAAACAUAUAAAACCAGUCCAAAAAAGAGAAUAAAAUAGUUUCCUUGCUUUUGAUAAGUCUUGAACUCAUGAUCUUUUGGUUAAAUCAUUUUAAUCUUCGAUACACUAACCAACUCAACUCCAUGUCAUUACUUGUAUACUUGUUCCUUUAAUUACUUAUAUUUAGUCGUUUAGUACACAUUAUCAUUCUAAAAAGUGUCUCUACAUAGUUUAAAAUGUCUCAACAAAAUGCCUUUACAUAUUAGACGCAUUUUAUAGUGCCGAAAGAAUGCCUCUACAAGAUAAAAUCUAACAAACUGAUAUAAAAAUGUCUCUAGAGUAAAAGUUUUCUAGGCAAUUUUUAAAGUGUCUCUAUAAAGUGUCUCUACACUAUAAAACUUCUGAUUGUAGAAGCAAUUUACAAAAUGCCUCUACAAAAGUGCCUCUAUACGAGGUUUUUGUUGUAGUGAUGAGAGUUAAUAAGAAGAGAGGUAAAAAGAUGAAGAUACCAUUUCUCGUAAAGAAACAUCUUUACACGAGAACCAAGAAUAAAAACAAGGGGAUUAGAUGUGAAUUUAAUUUGAAGACAUCAUCCAUUGGAUAUAUAGACUCUAUAUAUAGUGUCUAUAUGACAUGGUAAGUAUGGAAUAUAGUUUCUGCUAUUGUGUCUUCUCUAACUACUUUACCGAAUUAUUAUUGCUGGUCGCCAACGCGCGGAUCAUUAUUAUUGAUAUUGUAUACUACUCCAUAUUUUAAAGUUUAAUAUAUGUUGAAUACAUAGGCUAUUUUCUAUACUAUAGCGAUUUAGAUUACUAACUGUUUUCAGUUUUUUUUUAAAAAAAAAUCGUAAUUAAAAUAAUAAACAUCAUAUUUAUUUAAUAUUGAAUUUUGCAGUUGCUACAUUUAUUAAAAAACUAUAUGUAAUUAAUACCUAACACAUUAUUACGAUCUACAGUUGUGAUAUUAUGAUUUAUUAGAUCAAUGACUAGAUUUUUCUGAUUAAUGUGAGAGCUCAUAGAAAAUGUUAGGUUAGUAUAGGUAUAGAUAUAGAUAGAUAGAUAGAUAGAUAGAUAGAUAGAGGGUUAAAAGCUAUUUUUCUUUGUGGUGGAGUUACGGACUGCAAAUCCAUGUCUUAGCUAAAUACAAAAGACGCCCAUUUUUUUUUAAAACAACGGCAGAGCUUGCCAUUUCACUGAAUAAAGAAGGGAGCAAUAUUUACAUGUAAGGAGAAAAGUAAUAUUUACAAAGGCGACCGGGCACUAAGGCAACAUCUCUGCUGAGCGUUUGGCUUCCCGCCGUAGCCCAAGCUUUUGCCUCAUCCUUUAUCUUUGCGAUGAGGUCGCAGUGCUUAACUCUUUGUUUCGGAAGAUUUGUCGGUUUCACUCGUUCCAAAUUUCCCAGGAGAUUAGGAGGAUUAAGGAUAUAAUUCCAAGUUUUGGUACAGUGUGGCAUGUGGCAAGAAAUUCCCACCAUUCAUGAACCGUGGUCGAUUGUGUCCAGCUUACCGGCGCCAUGGAUGCACAGGUUAUCCAACUGGCAAUGGCAUCCCAUAUUUUCUUGGUGUAUCUGCAUUGCAUUCCACCAACAGGUGUAUAGUAAUCUCGUCGGUGUGCCGACAUAGCGAGCAAACUCCAUUCUUCUGUCAGCCCCGGGUCGCUAGUCGGUCCGCCAUCCAAACCCUAUUUUGAAUGAUUAACCACGCAAAUGUCCAUAUCUUUGAUUUUGUGACGAACCCGUGCACCAUCCAACCGUGUCGGUGAGAAAGGUCGAAUGGAGCCCGUACUGACGACCCUGAUAGGUGAACAGUUGCACGGGGUUGCACCCGCGCGGUCAGUUCCAAACCCUCUAGUUCACCUUCUCCUCUAUAAGAGUAUAUACACAUGUAUAUAUAGUAUAAGAGCGCACGCGCCUAUAUAUAUAAUUUUUUUAGGGUGAAUAGCUAAUUUAGUCCCUCAAGUUUCAGUGAAGGCUUAAUUUGAUCCUUCACGUUUCAUUUUGUCUAUAUAGAUCCUUCAAAUAUUUGUUUUAGCUUGAAAUCAUUCUUGGGUCCACUUAAUAUGCCAUAUGGCUAUUUCUAGUCAAUAUUUCUAUUAGAAAAUGUCCUUUUUGCCCAUAAUUUAUAUACAUCUAUACACUAGAAAAUAGAAAGCCAACAUGAAUAAACAACAUUACAGAUCUACUUCCCAUUAUUUCAACAUGUGCACAUGAAACUUAAGCAAUUGCUAUCGUAUACACUUGCUAGUACAUAAUUUUUUUCGUUUUACAUAAUAUACUAUGUAUUAUCUAUAAAAAAUUCAAGCAUGCAAUUUCUCUCUUAUAUAUGUGAAUGAUGAGGGGUAUAAGUGUCAUUUAUGAAGAGAGUUGUUGGUUCAAGGAUAAGUUUGAACUAAAAUGAAAACUUGAAGGACUAAUAUGGAUAGAUUGAAACAUCAAGGACUAAACUGAGCCUCAGAUAAAACUUGCAGGACCACUUUGGCUAUUCACCCUUUAUUUAUGUAUAAAAAAUAUACAUCUAUACAGAAGUUUAUAUACGACAUAUACAAACUUUGUAUAUGACGUAGACAAAAUUUAUAUACAUGCGCAUUUAAAAAAUUUAAAAAACAUCACGUAUACAAAGUUCGUAUACAUAUAUAAAAAGUUUGUAUACGAGUGUAAACAAACUUUGUAUACACAUAUAUAAACUUUGUAUCUCGUACGUAUAGAAAACAAAAAAAACCCAAAAAAGGAAAAAAUAAAAAAAUACUGAAAAGAAAAAAAACCAAAGAAAACCGAAUAAAACAAAGAAAAAAAGUGAAAAAAAGUCCCACGCGCGGCGCGGCGUCCGCCGCCCUCCUCUCCGCGCGCGCCACCUGUCCAUCCGCGCGGAGGGAGGCGCGCGCGGACAUCCGCGAAUUAGCAAUCUCUUAACCUGGCAGCCAUAUCGCCCGCCGGUCAAACCCGCCCUCUUUGUUCGUCGACGGCUCGACCUCUUGUUGCUUGUGUCACCUCCUUUUGUCUUCUACCCGAGAUUUUCCAUAGAGAAAACGGCCCUCACCCACGGCCACAGCCACGGGCCGUAGGUGUCAGUCGUGUCACACACAAAAAAAAAAAAAGUUCCACCCACCCGUUGUCUUCGCAUUUCAACCCUUAAUAUCCGUUUGCCUAUAAAUACUCUCUCUGUAGGUACAUCUCUCUACCAUCUCUGUCGUCCAACCUCUUAGUUUCCUGCUUGGUUUUGAUCGAUUCAAGCUAGUAAACGCUGAUCAUGGUGAACGUUGCUCGCUUGGAUCAGGCUGACGGCGCUGCGUCCAAGAUCGCCACGGCGCGGGCGCUGGGGGCGUUCGGCCUCGCCACAGCCUCUCUGGCCAUCAAUCUGGCCGCGACACGCGGGGCACCGUCGUGCUUCGGUGACAGCGCCUGGUACUACCACCUCGCUCUCGUGGGUUCCUUCCUCUCCGGAGUGGCCCAGGUGGCCGCCGCCGUCUGGGUCGCCGACGACCCUCGCGGCCGCCAUGCCGUCGGCAAGAAAAUCAUGUACCCCUCUAUUGCACCCCUCCUCGUGGCCGUCGGCCUCACCGGAGCGGCUCUGCUCUGGUAAUAUUUCCAGUUUUCCACCUUGGUUCAUCUACACGUACCAACACCGACAUCGCCGCCUACCGCGCCAGCUUCUCCCCGCAGGAUCGGCGCGAAUGUAUCUGUUAACAACCCUCUCCUUCCAAACUCGGUAAUCUCAAGAACAAUCCAAUUCAAUACAAUCUCAGGAAAAUAGAAGAGGAAUUGAAGGAGAAGAAGUAGAGGAUGCUUCUAGAAGUGGCAGUGAGGAGGACCAUGGAGAGAGAGAAGGAUAGAGAUCGACGAGGUUCAACCGAACCAAGCCGCCGCCGCCGCCGUGGCCGAAGCCGCCGAUUCCUGAUCUGUUCGAUUCCCCUGGUAAGAGUUGUCCUGUUGUUUUGUAGCUUCACCUUGGACUGGCCUGGGCCAACAUUAGGAGAGUUGAUGGACUGGCCCAUUUGGCAGCCCAGCCAGGACCUUAACAGUAUCUUACCUGUUUGAUUUGUGUGAUGUUGCUUUCUUGAUGUUUGCUGUUUGGGUCAUCGAUCGUGCUUUUGUGUAUCACCUCGAGUAUCUAGUAUCUACCAUCAAUCAAUCACGCUGUUUCCCUCCACUGCCUGCUGUUGUUGUGUUGUUGAUCAAUGCUUGGAUUGAUGAAUAUGUGAUGCAAAUUUUGAGUCACUACGGUAUACUCAAAUCAAACAAAAAAAUCAGCUAAUUUGCAGAAGAGUGUAUUUGGAAUGUUGGAGUACCCCGCGAAUUGUGAAGCCGGUGGCGGCGCGGCGACCGGCGAUUAUGGUGUUUGUGAUCACUAAUUCAACAUCCACUUCAUCGCUGCCGCUGGCGGGGCUCCGGCGACGGUGCGCACCGUACGGCCGGCCCGCCGCCGCCGCCUUGUCCUCCCUUGCCCCUUGCCGCUGUCAUGUGAUGGCCAAAAGGGUUCUUUUUGGUGAUUUUUCUAUCCAGUUUUUUAAUCAAGAUUCUGAUCCAAUUGUUUCGAUUUUGGCUGAAAGGUGGGCCAUAAGUGGACCCCACAUGGCCAUAGGAGAGUACUACUAAUAGUAGGAGAUUACUGGAGAAAGAGAGGAGACAUCACAGGGUCCCCGAGACUGGGAAAUUUAACUAUUUGUAACUCUCACAAUUAACGAUUUGCCACAUCCUAUCUAUCACAUGUAGACUCUUAUGUGUCUAUGAUAUGUGGGUCUAAUAGUAAAUUGUUAAGCUCCACUGGUAAGAGUGGCAAAUAUUUAAAAGCCCCGCGGAGACUUGCGGCUGCGGCGGCCGAGAGGGCCACGGCCAUGGCGACCUCGCCUUCGCCCUCGCCCUCGCCCAAAAAGUCUCUAUCUCGCUGCUCCGGCUUCCUAACUACAUCCUCUUACCUCCUCUCUGCCUCAAUUCGCUAGAUCUUGUGCAGCGGUGAGGAAACGACGGCGCGCCAAAUUUUGCUCGGCCACGAUCCGAUCACUGUCGCCGGAAGCCGUCCUCCGGCCACCCCCUCGCCGUGAACCUGCGCCGGCGGACCUCGGCCAGGAUCUGGUCGGCAUCGCGGCUGUGGUAUUGCAAACAGAUUUGUGGAUGCUAUGAUGGCCGUGCGCCGUUCAGCCGUUGACUUGUAAGAACACGGCAGCCACCUCUUCUGAUUUUAGUGGUUCAUACAGGUUAUCAUCUGCUUGCCCUUACAAUUACAUAUGGUUACAUACUUACAUGCAUUUUGGUGGCUGUGGUCAUGUUGUGAAAGAAAGACAUCAGUCAACAGGUGCUUAAGGGAAUUUCACAGUGUGAGCGAUAACCUAUCAGAAUUUGAUUUGAUAGGGCAGUUUGGUAUGUUGUGUGAAAGCUCUUUAAACAAUUGUGCAGUUGUUUGGUGCAUCAUUUUCUGUCUUCUGGUAAUUGUGAAUCACUGGCAUAUAUAUUGAGGAACCCAACUUUUGUAUAUUUGCCAGUUUCUGUAUUUUUCACAUGUGGAGAGACUGGUGUGUAUGACAGUUUUCCUGGCAUGUCAUGUAAUAAUCGGAAGAUUUGUUAUUAGGAGAGGGAUGCUCAAUCUCCUUUCUAAUAUUAGGCUUUUACCGUUGCUUGUGUGCAACCAUCAGCCCUUUUCAGACUAGUUAUAACCAUACCAUUUUGUAUAUCAAAAUUUAUGACUAAAUUGCACUAAAUAUUCGUGAUUUAGUGCAUUGUGAUGCUGUGACUGAAUCUGAAAAUUUGGCAGCGAGAAUGAAUAUCAAGUAAUGUUGUGCCGAUUUUGCUAUAGAUUUGUCGUGUGAUUUUUUCUCUUGGAUUUGUCUUUUUUAGGCUGUUCGAUAAGUGACAAGAUUCGUGCACAUAUAGCGCUGGGAAUCCGCAUAGGAUUCAGUCGGGCGGGUUAGAGGCGCUAAUUUCUUUUUUUUUUGCGCUCUAAAAAAUUGAUAUGCACGCUGUUCUCUCUCGUUCUCUCUCAAUUGAAACUAAAAUAAAAAUAAAAUACAAAAUUACAGUCCUAUAUAAUAAAAAUUACAUUUGUAAAUUCAGUUGAUAUGACAUGUAAGUGCGUACUGUAAUUUUUAUAACAAUGUUGUGUAAGUAAAUAUUUAUUUGUUAUUUUUAAUAUAUAAAAUUACAGUCCUAUAUAACUAAAGUUAUAUUUGUAAAUUCAGUUGAUAUGACAUGUAAGUGCACUGUAAUUUUGAUAACAAUGUUGUAUAAGUAAAUAUCUAUUUGUUAUUUUCUUUAAAAUAUAAAAUUACAGUCCUAUAUAACCAAAAGAGUAAAGUCCAUCACCGGUCCCUAAACUUGUACCGUUGUGUCAUCCCGGUCCCUAAACUCGCAAAUCGACCGUUCAGGUCCUCAAACUUGUUUGACUGUGUCAUCCCGGUCCCUAAACUUGUAGAUCACUUGUUUAGGUCCUCCAACUUGUUCAGUUGUGUCACCCCGGUCCCUAAACAGGACGGUCUAAAAACUUUAUAUCAAAAAAUAAUUUAUAACUUUUUCAUAUGAACUCUAAUGAAGACAAACUUUAUAUCAAAAUUGUAGCCUUCGACGUGACUUACAACUUUGUAGUUGAAAAGUUUUUGAAUUAAAACUGUUUUAGUCCCAAAAUAUUGUUGCAUGUUUAUAUAUUUUGAAAUUUUAAUUUUAAAAUUACAUUUUGGGACAAAAAAUGACUUAGAAUAAAAAAACUCAACUACAAAGUUGUAGAUCGAGUCGAGGGCUACAAGUUUGAUAUAAAGUUUUUCUUCAUUAGAGUUCACAUGAAAAAGUUAUGAAUUAUUUUUAAAUAUAAAGUCUUUAGACUGUCUUAUUUGACCCAGAUGAUAUUCAAAUCCAAGUUUAGGGACCGGGGUAACACAACUGAACAAGUUGGAGGACCUAAACGAGUGAUCUGCAAGUUUAGGGACCGGGGUGACACAGUCGAAUAAGUUUGAGGACCUGAACGGUCGAUUUGCGAGUUUAGGAACCGGGAUGACACAACGGUACAAGUUUAGGGACCGGUGAUGGACUUUACUCUAACUAAAAUUAUAUUUGUAAAUUCAAUUGAUAUGACAUGUAAGCGCACUGAAAUUUCGAUAACAAUGUUGUGUGAGUAAAUAUCUAUUUGUUAUUUUCUUUAAUAUAUAUAAUUACAAUCCUAUAUAACUAAAAUUACAUUUGUAAAUUCAGUUGAUAUGACAUGUAAGUGCAUUGUAAUUAUGAUAAAAGUAUUGUGUAACUAAAUAUGUAUUUUUAUUUUCUUUUGUAGUCUGUUGGAUGUAAAUUUAAGGGUAGAAAAAAUCUAGGUGAUUUUUUCAAAGAAAUCACCCGACAAAUAGAUCAUGUUGUGCAUAUCCCCGCAGUCUGGACAUGAUCCAAUUAUCACAGUGAGCUCGGCCCAACUAAACUUGGGCUGACUUGGGCAGCUAUCCAUAUUUUCAUGGGCUGACUUGGGCUUACAAAAAUCUCCAAAAACGAUGCCCAAAGCUUUAAUGGACCAUAAAGUGGCGAUCCAGUUGAGCACGAAUAAAUCGCGUGGUUGAGGUUCGGAGUUUAAUUCUCCGACCCCUGUCUAUGCAAAACAUUUCCAUUGUUUGUUUCAAAAAAAAAAAACAUUUCCAUUGUUUGGAGGCAAUAAGAAGAGCUCCAUGAUACAAAUGAUUUCUUUUUUUUUUGAGAAACACAGUAUAAACGCAGGCGCUCACAACGUGCCGGCAUAUCUUGAGAUUGACGAAGUCACCACAGCGAGCACCCGUGUCAAAUCUAGGAGGCUGUCGACGGGUACGUCGCCUAACUAGGAGGCUGUCGACGGGUACGUCGUCUACCACUGAAAGAAUAAUUAGCCGUAAAUGCGAGCACCCGUGUCAAAUCUAGGAUUUGAACCCAGGUGGGCUGGUUCCACCACAAGGAACCUAACCAGUUGAGCUAUACUCACUUCGCAUGAUACAAAUGAUUUCAUCUGAGCACGUAAGGUUGCUUCUACAUAAGGUUUUGUGUUACCAUCACACUAUAUCUCACGAAAGCAAAUUCAAGUUGAUAUAAAACUUCAUUUGCUGAAAACAUCUGAAAAAUGUAAGCGUGGUACUGCAGGUCUGCACCUGCCAUCGGCCAUAUUCGAAUGAACACAUUGCAGUUGUAAUCCUCGGCGAUGUUGUUGUAUGUAUGAUCUGCCGUGGUGAUAUUAAUGGUUUCUUCUGUUGAGAUUAUAGACAUAUAAUGAUUUAAUCUAUUCCAUAAAUAAAUCAUGACAUUACAGAUGAAAACUAGCAUGAACACACCAUUAGAUCUACACAUGUAAACUACACAGUAUAACAUGAACAGAUCAAAUAUGCGCAACAUAUUGAACACGUACCGAGGUGACGGAAAGACCGGCUGCUUGGUCGAAACUUUUCGCAGGUGUCUACGAAGGCACGAAACACGCGAGCGAAGAGGAAGGCGAGCCGUCGCGAACGAACAAGGAGCAGUCGCGCGAAGCGCUUCCCAAAAACCUUAUUGCCGCCUUCUCCCGGUGCAGGACGUCGAAGGCAGAGGUUCCAGAGACCUGCUCUCCCGAUCGCCGGUGCACGCCGGCAAGCGGGAUGGAGUAGUCUACGAGCGACGGCGCAGUACAGAGUAGGAGGCAAACCCUAGAUUGAUUUCGCGUGUGUUGCGUGAAGACGGCAGGUCGGUUUAUAUAGAGAAGGGUCGCUUGAUCAGGGCGCCUGCACGAUCUCUACUGCGCGUAACCGAACCGGAUAAGUCGCGCGUAACUUAUCCGGACUCCACGCCGUUUGCACGCACCGGAUUUUUCGGAACGUUUCCAAAACAAAAACGAAUCCGAAUUUGCAGCAAAACAAAACUGCAAAAGGAGGCUGCAUCUGCGUAAGGGUGAGGAGCCAAUUUUUCGGACCAUUCGACGCGUACGUCGUGCACGCGCGCCGCCUGCCCGGCCAGGCGAGGCGAGCGAGCGCGCGCGUGUGUUUCCCCUCUUCUCUCCACCACACAUGCUUCAAGUGACUAGGAGGGCAUCCUCCCUUUUAAGGAGGUCCCCCUCUCCUAGAAUAAGCAAGGUGGUACUAAACUCCACAUGCAUGCCAUCCCAUGAGGUGGGCUUUUGUGAUUUUCCAAAGAAUUAAUCUUCGAGUGGGCUAAGGCCCAUUCAUUAAUUCCAACAAUCCCCCACCAAAUCUCAAAAUCCCACUGAGAUUUGCCUUUUCCAAUAUACUGUUUAUAUACCAGCGGUUCGAUGGAGACCAAUUAAGGUUGAGCAUCCACCUAGAACUCCAAGCUACACUUACUCACAACUUGAACAAUGGACUACGCCUUGAAUUGCAAGUCUUGUGCAAGCAAGUUUCACUCAAAGUCUUACCUGGUACUAGACCGUCUGUAGACUACCCCUCGGGUGGAGCGUAUAAGUCAUACUCCUAGGUCUUUAGUAAGCUUCCUAGAAGAUUCACCCAAAAUCUUUAUAGACUGCGACCAACAGUCAAGCUCACAAAGGUGAGUUCUUUCAAGAAUGCUCUGCAGGACAACAUCUUCGCUAAUUAAAACCAACAGAACUCAUUAAGGCAUAGCCAACCUGCCUUGCAGCUCACGAGAGUAUAUGCAUCUUCACUUGGAGAGGGUAUAUAUAUUGGUACUCUCCUCUAGUUUAUUAAUGGUUUGUUCUUCCCAGGAUCUAAUUCACGGGAUCUCCGAUCACAUAGACUGGGUUACCACCAUAGUAUAACUCACAUGGGUCUCAAACCCAUCUCCUUCGAUGCAUUGUCUAUCACAUUUCGUGAUAGUCCCUUCGUGAAGGGAUCUGCCAGAUUUCUCGCUGUUUGGAUGUAAUCCAACGUUAUAACUCCUGAGUUUCUUAAUUUCCUGACAGACUUCAAUCGUCUUUUCACAUGUCUAGACGAUUUCAUAUUAUCCUUAGAACUAUUCACUUUGACAAUUACCGUUUGAUUGUCACAGUUCAUAAGGAUAGCCGGCACCGGUUUUUCAACAACAGGCAGAUCCAUUAAUAGAUCACGCAGCCAUUCUGCCUCAACAGUAGCAGUAUCCAGUGCCGUUAGCUUUGCUUCCAUGGUUGACCUCGUCAAAAUGGUCUGUUUGCAAGACCUCCAUGAAACAGCACCACCACCCAGUGUGAAAACAUAUCCACUAGUGGCUUUGAUCUCAUCCACAUCAGAGAUCCAGUUAGAAUCACUAUAACCCUCCAGUACCGCAGGAUACCCAGUAUAGUGAAGCCCCAAUUCCACAGUACCUUUCAGAUAGCGCAUUACUCGCUCAAGCGCACGCCAGUGAUCAUCUCCCGGAUUAGAGGUAAAUCGGCUCAACUUGCUUACAGCAAAGGAGAUAUCAGGCCUAGUUGCACUAGCCAGGUACAUCAACGAGCCAAUGAUUUGGGAGUAUUCCAGUUGAUUCCUAGCAAUUCUCUUGUUCUUGCGAAGCAACAAGCUAGGAUCAUAAGGUGUUGGAGAAGGCUUACUAUCAAUGUAGCCAAAGCGAUUCAAGAUCUUCUCCACAUAAUGGGACUGCAAGAGUGUAAUCCCAUUCUCACCUCUAAUUAGCUUAAUGUUUAAGAUAACAUCAGCUACUCCCAAAUCCUUCAUAUCAAAAUUUUGAGACAAGAAUGAUUUAACCUCAUUUAUCACCUCAAGAUUUGUCCCAAAUAUCAGUAUGUCGUCAACAUACAAGCACAAAAUAACUCCCUCACCCCCACCAUGGCGAUAGUACACACAUUUAUCUGCCUCAUUGACUGCAAAGCCUGCAGAUGUCAAUGUUUUGUCAAAUUUCUCAUGCCAUUGCUUAGGAGCUUGUUUCAGACCAUACAAAGACUUCAACAAUUUGCACACUUUGCCUUCUUGACCUUCAACUACAAACCCAUCAGGUUGAUCCAUAUAGAUCUCCUCAUCCAGCUCUCCAUUAAGAAAAGCUGUCUUAACGUCCAUUUGAUGAACGAGAAGACCAUGUGAGGCUGCUAGGGAAAGUAGCACACGAAUUGUGGUCAAUCUAGCAACAGGUGAGUAAGUAUCAAAGAAAUCUUCGCCUUCUUUCUGAGUAUAGCCCUUAGCAACAAGCCGAGCCUUGUACUUUUCAAUAGUACCGUCAGGCCUAAGCUUCUUCUUGAACACCCACUUGCACCCCACAGGUUUACACCCAUAGGGUCGCUCUGUCACCUCCCAAGUCCCGUUAGCGAUAAUGGAAUCCAUUUCACUACGGACAGCCUCCUUCCAGUAGUUUGCAUCAGGAGAUGCAUAUGCUUCUGAAAUUGACUUAGGAGUGUCAUCCACGAGGUACACAGUGAAAUCAUCACCAAAAGACUUAGCCGUCCUUUGUCUCUUACUCCUUCGAGGAGCUUCACUGACAUCCUCCUCAGAGACAAGUUCAUGUGUAUGUUCAGUUUGUUCUGGUGGUGUGAUUGAACUGGGAAUUAUUUCAGAGGGUUGGUUCGAACCACUAUGUGUAUCCUUCAUUGGGAAAAAGCUCUCAAAGAAGGUAGCAUCACGAGACUCCAUAAUUGUACCAACAUGCAUGUCCGGUACCUCGGAUUUAACUAUUAAAAAUCUAUAGGCAAUGCUAUGAUGAGCAUAUCCCAGAAAAACACAGUCCACAGUUUUAGGUCCAAGUUUGCGCUUCUUCGUUAUUGGUACAUUGACUUUCGCCAAGCACCCCCAUGUGCGCAAAUAAGAAAGUGAUGGUUUUCUACCAAUCCAUAUCUCAUAUGGUGUUUUGUCCUUAUUUCUGUUAGGAACUCUAUUUAACACAUGAUUUGAGGUCAACAAUGCCUCCCCCCACCAUGCCUUAGGCAGUCCCGCGGUGUCCAACAUGGCAUUCACCAAGUCAGUCAGUGUGCGAUUCUUCCUUUCAGCAAUCCCAUUAGACUCGGGAGAAUAGGGAGGCGUCCUCUCAUGUAUGAUGCCAUGUUCCUCACAGAAUAAGUCAAACUCGUUCGAGAAAAACUCUCCACCACGAUCAGACCUAAGCCUUUUUAUCUUUCUGUCAAGUUGAUUUUCAACUUCUGCCUUAUAAAUUUUAAAAUAGUCUAGAGCCUCGUCUUUCGUUUUCAACAAGUAAACAUAGCAAAAUCUAGUAGCAUCAUCAAUCAAUGUCAUGAAAUAUCGUUUUCCACCCUUCGUCAACAUCCCAUUCAUUUCACAAAGAUCUGAAUGUAGGAGUUCUAAUGGUGCUAAGUUUCUCUCCUCGGCAGCCUUGUGAGGCUUGCGAGGUUGCUUCGAUUGCACACAACUAUGGCACUUAGAACCUUUGACAAUGGAAAACUUAGGAAUUAAACACAUGCUGGAAAGCCGAGACAUCAAGCCAAAAUUAAUAUGACAUAAACGUGAAUGCCAAACAUUAGCCUCAUUAUCCAUACUGCCACAAAUAUGGUUCACAGACUUAUUGCAGAAAUCAGAAAGGGAAAAGCGGAACAGGCCUCCGCACUCAUAACCUUUACCAAUAAAAUAUCCAUGUUUAGACACGACUACUUUAUUAGACUCAAAAACCAACUUAAAUCCGUCUCUAGUCAGACGGGAGCCACUAACAAGAUUCCUGUCGAUAGAAGGGACAUGCUGCACGUUCUUCAGCUGCACGAUCUUUCCCGAAGUAAACUUCAGAUCUACCAUGCCAACACCAUGAACAGAAGCAUGUGACCCAUUCCCCAUUAGGACGGUGGAACCCCGUGCGACCUGAUAAGAAGAAAACAAUGAGAUGUCAGCACAAACAUGUACAUUGGCCCCAGUAUCAACCCACCAAUUAGUAGAUUGAUUAACUGAGAAAACAGUAGGUAAAUUACCAUACCCGCUUCCAUCUCCAGUGUUGCCAAUGGUCACAUUAGCAGACUUAGAAGUCUGCCCUGCAGGUGCCUUCAUCCCCUUGCGCUGUGGACACUUCCUAGCCAGAUGACCAACUUGGCCACACACAAAGCAAGUCCUCUCAUCCUGAUUAGGAUUGUUGUUGUUCUUCUUCUGCUUCUUGAAGUUGGUGGUCUGCUGAGCUUUGUAUUUCCCCUUGCUCUUGUUCUGGGCCUUGUGCACAACAUUGGCACUGGACUGCCCACCAUCGCCCUUAGACGCGGCAUCUUUUUCCCGAGCUUUCUCCUCAACAUCAAGAGACGCUAUCAACCCCUCAACGGAGUAUUCCUGUCUCUUGUGUUUGAGUGCAGUACCGAAACUUCUCCAAGAUGGAGGUAGUUUUGCAAUAAUGCACCCGGCCACAAAUUUGUCGGGUAAGACACACUUAAGGAGUUCGAGUUCCUUAGCCAUGGUUUGUAUCUCAUGAGCCUGUUCGACUACAGAACGGUUGUCAGCCAUUUUGUAGUCAUGAAACUGCUCCAUGAUAUACAGAUCAUUGCUAGCAUCAGUAGCACCGAAUUUAGUAUUCAGUGCAUCCCACAACUCCUUAGCGUCGGUCAUAUGCAUAUACACCUCGACCAGACGAUCGCCAAGAACGCUAAGAAUGCAUCCCACAAAGAGAGUAGUGGCUUCCUCGAAUUGCUUCUGCUGUUCAGCAGUAAGAACUCCUUCAGGUUUGCCAGUACUCACCCAGAAGCAUUUCAUAGCUGUCAGCCACAGAGUGACCCUGAUCUGCCAUCUCUUAAAAUGCACACCGGUGAAUUUAUCCGGCCUCAGUGCAUCGGCAAAACCAGCCAUAGUAAAAUCACAGUACCUAUAAUAAGGUUUUUGGAUUGUUGAGAUUAUAGACAUAUAAUGAUUUAAUCUAUUCCAUAAAUAAAUCAUGACAUUACAGAUGAAAACUAGCAUGAACGCACCAUUAGAUCUACACAUGUAAACUACACAGUAUAACAAGAACAGAUCAAAUAUGCGCAACAUAUUGAACACGUACCGAGGUGACGGAAAGACCGGCUGCUUGGUCGAAACUUUUCGCAGGUGUCUACGAAGGCACGAAACACGCGAGCGAAGAGGAAGGCGAGCCGUCGCGAACGAACAGGGAGCAGUCGCGCGAAGCGCUUCCCAAAAACCUUAUUGCCGCCUUCUCCCGGUGCAGGACGUCGAAGGCAGAGGUUCCGGAGACCUGCUCUCCCGAUCGCCGGUGCACGCCGGCGAGCGGGAUGGAGUAGUCUACGAGCGACGGCGCAGUACAGAGUAGGAGGCAAACCCUAGAUUGAUUUCGCGUGUGUUGCGUGAAGACGGCAGGUCGGUUUAUAUAGAGAAGGGUCGCUUGAUCAGGGCGCCCGCACGAUCUCUACUGCGCGUAACCGAACCGGAUAAGUCGCGCGUAACUUAUCCGGACUCCACGCCGUUUGCACGCACCGGAUUUUUCGGAACGUUUCCAAAACAAAAACGAAUCUGCGCAAGGGUGAGGAGCCAAUUUUUCGGACCAUUCGACGCGUACGUCAUGCACGCGCGCCGCCUGCCCGGCCCGGCGAGGCGAGCGAGCGCGUGUGUUUCCCCUCUUCUCUCCACCACACAUGCUUCAAGUGACUAGGAGGGCAUCCUCCCUUUUAAGGAGGUCCCCCUCUCCUAGAAUAAGCAAGGUGGUACUAAACUCCACAUGCAUGCCAUCCCAUGAGGUGGGCUUUUGUGAUUUUCCAAAGAAUUAAUCUUCGAGUGGGCUAAGGCCGAUUCAUUAAUUCCAACAUCUUCUACCUUAGCUAUGAUGUUCAGACAACUUUGAAUAGCAGACUCGCUGAUAAGCACAGCAGCAGUCAACAGUUGAUGACGGAGAUAAUGAAGCCUCACCUAGCCGUCGUCACCCACUAGAGCUCAGCUAUCUCGGGGCCUUACAGGAGAGAGGGAAACUGUGGUGGCGGCCGUGUUUUUUUUUUACCUUUUCCACAUGACUUUUUUUUAUUUUUUUAGAGAAGGGUAUUUUUUACCCGGCCUCUACAUCCAACCGGAUAUAUGCGGUCGUACCUUUUCCACAUGACUAAUAUGAGAGCCCUACUGUUUUUCUUUUUUUUUUUAACGGAAAACAGCACUAGAUGCCUUUUCACUUAAUAGAGUAGGAGAAAAUACAACCCCUAGGAGCAAAGAAAAAAGGAGUAUGGUUUUUCUGAUUUUUUAUUAGAAUAUAUGAUUGCUACAUAAACGUCACAUAGUAUGUGUGUAGACAAAGUCAAAAUAAUAAGUUAAAUGAGACCGCUCAAAAGAACCACCGAGAGAGAGUUAAUUUGCACUGAUUUUGAUAAUUAGUGUGUUAUACCUAGUUUUAUAAUUGAGGGAUACUAAUCGAUCUCAGCUUAUAGGUUGAGGGACGCAAACACUUAUGCCAAUAGUUGUUGCCAUAUCGCGCACUUGAUACUUAAUAAACAUAUUAGUUUUUUAAUCAUUUGUUAUGAAUUAAAUAAAACCCACUAAGAGCAUAUAUGCUCUUGAAACUUGAAAGAAAGAAUACUACUUAGCUCUUUUCCUCUUUUUAGGAUUUUUAUGGUACAUUGUACUGCAAGUAUAUACUGCCAUUAUAUUUGAUCUAACGGUGUAAAUUAAUCUGAUCUUCUUCCUAAUUAUCCUGCAGUAUAAAAUUGAAUAGGGUAUAUUUGUCUUUUCAUCUAUUUAUAUAGGGGGUAAUUUUGUAAAUUCGCAUUUUCUCAGUUAGAUCCGGUCGAUAGGCGUCCAGUCAAAGCAGCCGCUGCCGGCGCGCAGCUGCGGCAGCUCGCAGCGGCAAGGGCAGCCGGCAGGUGGCCGAAGCAGCAGUGCGGCAUGCAGCAGCAGCAGGGCAGGGAAGCCCCGCGGCGGCAUGCGACAACAGCAAUUUUAAAAAAGUGAAGAAGAAUUUUAUAAAAAAAACAUAUGUACCGAUUCACAAGUGUUUGUAGAGAAUUAGACUUGUUAAUUAACUUAAUUAUUGCUUGUAUCCAUUGUUAUUGAAGCGGAUGAAGCCUGAAUCAUCAAACAAGUCUGAUGCAAACAUGCAGUAGUUAUAUAUUAUCACGGGCUCAGGCUUUUAAUACUCAAGAACUUAUAUCGCUAGAGAGACUGACGGAAGCAAGUUCCUGGAAGCGGACGGCUGCUGCUGGGCCCGACGGCGGCGAUAGUGCUGCGCACGAGAAUGGCAGUAUGUUGGCUUUGCUCCCGGCGGAGGCUGUAUCGCUUCCGGCGAUCGGCAGCGGCGGCGGCGGUGACGGCAUCAUUGCGUACGACAGCGGCUGGGCGGCGCUUGUGGGACUGUGGGAGCCACACGCGAGACAACGUACGGCUGCCGGCGACCCGACGUACCGCGUACGAGGUAGACUGAAUUGGUAUCACGAACGGAUGACGAGAUCCGAAAAAAUACCACCGAUGGAAAAAAUGAUCUCAAUUAAAAAUGGCUAAGCAAUCCUUUUUAGAUUUUUAACAAAUACCAAAUCUACCCUUUCAUAUACUGCAAGUAUAUACUUUAAGUAGAAUGUACUGUAAAAGUCCUCUUUUUUUCGCCCCCCAUGUAGUUAAGCUGGCAAUUAAUCGUUUUUUUGUUCAUACUUCAUUUGAAAUGUGUAGGAUCAACAAAACACACACACUUGUGAAUCGACAAACGCAACCUGCAGGUGCUAGGCAUGCACCGUGAAUUAUUGUAUAUUAAUCUGUCAAAGACUCAAAGAGCAGCAAAGGAAAUGUCUCAUAGCCUUGUUAAACAUAACUUUGCCAGGAGAUCUGUAUGUUUUGAUGCACACAAGCUGUUAUGAGGGUUGCUAGUUGCUACUCACUUGCUCUUACAUGCACUUCUGCUGGCAUAAGAUGAUAGUCUGGUAGAGGUUCUGUUGUUGAGCCCUGGAAGUCUGGAACACAGCCGGUGCUCAGAAGAAUUUCAUAUCACUACGGCGUAUCAGGAUUUGAUAGAGCAAUUUGGUAUGUUCGGUGAAAGUCAUACACAUUUGAGCGAUUGUACAGUACUCAGAAAUUGGUGUUUUAUAUCCUCUGGUAGUUGUGGAUCACUGUAUUGAGGAAUCAACCUGACGUAUAAUUGCCGGGUCUGUAAUUUUGUAUAUGUGGAGACUGGUGUGUAUACCAAUUUUCUGCUGGAAUGUCAUGCAAUGAGGCAUGGGCAAAUUCUCUUGUAGGGCUUUCAUCGUUCAUUGAGUUUAACAUAGCUAUAACAGUACUGUUUUAUAUGACAAAAUAACAGUACUAUUUUCUAUGACAAAAUUUGUGAUUAAACUGUGUUCACGAUUUCUUUUGGUUGUGCAGAAAACAAUGAACUGAUAAAACAUCCUAGAGUUAGUGAAUUUUGUGCUGGUGUAACUGAUUCUGAAAGCUUGGCAGCAAGAGUUGUCAAUUUUGCUAAUCAAGUUAAACUUGUGCUCGGGUGUACAAACCUGACAAGCAUUAUGCUUGUGAUUAACUGAUAAGUAAUGUAGGCAUGUAGCUAUGCAUAUAGUUUUUCGGGUGAGUUGGUGGUGGUAUGUUUGGUUUAGAACUGACUCGGUGGAACAUUUUCAGACGUCGCAUCAGCUGUGCGUUUGUUGGGCCGUACAUUGACGUACUUGGGCCGUGGGCCGUGGGCUGAUCUGUGGAGAGAACAUCCUGGUCACGUCUAUCUCUUCCCCCUCGGCCAACACCGAGUUUUUUUAAAGAGAAGGGUAUUUUUUAUCCGGUCUCUACAUCUAACCGGAUAUAUACGACCAUUGAAAUAGGAAACUUAUCCCCACAAACAACCCAAUCUGAAAUUCGCGGGAGCUAACAACGAGAUGCAGGGGCCGGGGUUGGAGCUCGGUGGUGACGGGGUACACGUCCAUGGCGCAAGCUCAAAUUCAGCGGCAAGCAACUCGUCGUUGAUGAUCUGGUACGUACGCCACACCGCCUCCUUUGAGAUUGACUGCUCCGGUAUCCGGGAGGGAGGUGCGGACGUAGCAGGGGGAGAGGCGAAGAAGGUGGAGUGGACUGAGUCGUCAUUGCAGCCCGAUUGAGCCGCCGUGGUAGAGCAGCCAUGGCGAUCGAUCGCCGGCCGGGAGCGAUACAUGCAUGAUAGUCCCUCCGUUUCUAAAUAUUCGACCCCGUUGAUUUUUUUUGAAGUAUGUUUGACCGUUCGUCUUAUUUAAAAAAUUUAAGUAAGUAUUAAUUCUUUUCUGGAAAGCUAUGUUACUUCCUUGCUGGAAAUUAAACAGUGCCCCCGAGCGAAUACAGAGAAAGGAAAACAUGUGGUCCACUUAGUUUCUAAUAAGUCCAAACUAGCUAAGAAGAAUCAAGGGUGCAGCCCUCGUCGCUGGGAGAAACCACACGCGGGGUGGAUGAAGCUGAAUGUGGAUGGAUCCUUUGACUUGAAUUCAGGUUCAGGUGGUUUAGGUGUGAUGCUAAGGAAUAGUUCUGUCAAAUCUAUUUUUUCUGCUUCCGGAUUCAUUGAGCGCUGCAGCAGCCCAUUGGAAGCUGAACUGAUAGCCUGCAAAGAGGGCAUUAUUAUGGCCCUUCAGUGGACCUUGUUGCCCAUCAUUGUGGAGUCUGGUUGCUUGGUGGCGGUGAAUAUGAUCCAGGCUGCGAAAGAGGAGAGGUCUCAGUUUGCUCAUCUGAUCCGGGACAUAGGGAAUUUGAUCUCAGGAGACAGGGAAGUCUUAAUCCAGAAAAUUUAUCGCACUCAGAACUGCAUUAGCCAUUUCCUAGCAAAUAAGGCCCGUGCUAAACUCUGUACAGAGUUUUGGCCGGAUGAAACUUGUAAUAUCAUCUCACAAUUUGUUUGUGAGGAGGCUGCUUCUGAGUAAUAUAUUUCCCUUUCCCUGCAAAAAAAAAUAUACUUAUAUGUAUACAUAUAGUUUUACAUAUUUCACAAAAAAAAUUUGAAUAAGACGAACGGUCAAACAUGUGCUAAAAAGUCAAUGGUGUCAAAUAUUUAGAAACGGAGGAAGUAUGUCAUAUGUGUGCCGCUAUUAACACCUGUUGUUGCAAUCGAUCGCAUACACUGUUACUAUCGCGUAGGUUGGUUGGAUCAUAUUCCUACGUCGGCGCAGACAUGGGCGCCGCGCGACUGUUAGGGUGUGUUUGGUUCCCGGUCAAGGUUGGAUGGGAUAUGGCGGUCCAUAUUUUGCUGGAUAUGGCGAUCUAGUUUUUUGUUUAGUGGAGUGAAUAUGACGAUCUAGUUUUUUGUUUGGUUGUAGGGAUGAAAGUGGAUAUGGUGAUCCAUUUUUUUGUUUGGUUGGGGGAGUGGGAUGGAUAAGUGGUUGCAAUCACCCUUUCAUUAGAGGUGGUGAGUAUACCCCUCCAAAUUCUCACCAAAAAAAUAUCAAUAUACUAAAAAAUCUAAAUAGAAAUAAAAAAGCAGAAAGGAAUAAAAGGGAAAGGAGACAAAAAAAAAAGAAAAGGUCGCCGCCGCCUGAAGGUCUCCGCCCUCGCCUGAAGGUCUCUGCCGCCGCCCCUCGCCUCCUCUCUCGCCGGCAACCCUGUCGCCGCGCCUCCUCUCUCUCACCUCGCCACCUCGUAUCCUCUCUCCCCGGCCGCCGUCGCUCGCUCUCGCCGGUGCCCUCCCAGAUCCGGUCGUCGCCGGCUCAUCUCCUUUCUCGUCGCCGAGCUCGUCUCCUCUCCCGUCGCCGAGCUCGUCUCCUCUCUCGUCGCCGGCUUGCCCUAGCCGCCGAGCUCGCGUCACCCUAGCCGCCGCCGUCGAGCUCGCCUCCAUGGCGUCGCCUUGCCUGGCCGCCGAGCUCGCCUCGUGGUGAGAGGGGUGACGCGACCCACAUGUCGUUCGCCCCUGCUCGCCCGAGCGCUCGGGCGGCUGCAUCCGGCCGAAUCGGCCGGAUCCCCCCAUCCGGCAUCUAGGGGGAAUAUUCCCCUCCGGGCCGCCCUAUCCCACCUCCGCUCAGGAACCAAACACCCAAAAAAAAAUGGGCUGCCAAGUUGAGGAUUGCGGAUUGCGGUCAGGAGAUGGGACCCACCAUCCAAACACAGUUGAGGAUUGCGGUCGGCGGCCUCGAGAUGGGACCCAUAUGCAAGUGAGCGCCACCUUCUUCCUCCACACCCACCCCUCUCUCUCUCUCUCUAGUCUCUAGGUGUGUGAUUAAUAAAGUCAUUAAACCGACAUGCUAAGGGGCCAUCUGGGAAUUGGGACACAGGACUACUAUCAAAUGGUCCAAUUUGGCCUUAUUCUAUAUAUACUCUUCUCACUAAACAAACGCGAGUACUGUAUACAAAAGAAGACUAAAAAUGAUGUUUUUCUUAUUUAAUUUUGUCUACCAAUUUGUGCUCUGCUGACCUGGCCUGAGUGUGACGUUGAAGCUUGUUUGACAACGACCAUGCAUUCUGAUCGAUCUCUUUGUGAUGGGGUAACAUUAAUGUGAUGCUUCUAAUGUCCCUUAAUUUACCAAUCGUGGGCGCCGCGCGACUGUUAGGGUGUGUUUGGUUCCCGGUCAAGGUUGGAUGGGAUAUGGCGGUCCAUAUUUUGCUGGAUAUGGCGAUCUAGUUUUUUGUUUAGUGGAGUGAAUAUGACGAUCUAGUUUUUUGUUUGGUUGUAGGGAUGAAAGUGGAUAUGGUGAUCCAUUUUUUUGUUUGGUUGGGGGAGUGGGAUGGAUAAGUGGUUGCAAUCACCCUUUCAUUAGAGGUGGUGAGUAUACCCCUCCAAAUUCUCACCAAAAAAAUAUCAAUAUACUAAAAAAUCUAAAUAGAAAUAAAAAAGCAGAAAGGAAUAAAAGGGAAAGGAGACAAAAAAAAAAGAAAAGGUCGCCGCCGCCUGAAGGUCUCCGCCCUCGCCUGAAGGUCUCUGCCGCCGCCCCUCGCCUCCUCUCUCGCCGGCAACCCUGUCGCCGCGCCUCCUCUCUCUCACCUCGCCACCUCGUAUCCUCUCUCCCCGGCCGCCGUCGCUCGCUCUCGCCGGUGCCCUCCCAGAUCCGGUCGUCGCCGGCUCAUCUCCUUUCUCGUCGCCGAGCUCGUCUCCUCUCCCGUCGCCGAGCUCGUCUCCUCUCUCGUCGCCGGCUUGCCCUAGCCGCCGAGCUCGCGUCACCCUAGCCGCCGCCGUCGAGCUCGCCUCCAUGGCGUCGCCUUGCCUGGCCGCCGAGCUCGCCUCGUGGUGAGAGGGGUGACGCGACCCACAUGUCGUUCGCCCCUGCUCGCCCGAGCGCUCGGGCGGCUGCAUCCGGCCGAAUCGGCCGGAUCCCCCCAUCCGGCAUCUAGGGGGAAUAUUCCCCUCCGGGCCGCCCUAUCCCACCUCCGCUCAGGAACCAAACACCCAAAAAAAAAUGGGCUGCCAAGUUGAGGAUUGCGGAUUGCGGUCAGGAGAUGGGACCCACCAUCCAAACACAGUUGAGGAUUGCGGUCGGCGGCCUCGAGAUGGGACCCAUAUGCAAGUGAGCGCCACCUUCUUCCUCCACACCCACCCCUCUCUCUCUCUCUAGUCUCUAGGUGUGUGAUUAAUAAAGUCAUUAAACCGACAUGCUAAGGGGCCAUCUGGGAAUUGGGACACAGGACUACUAUCAAAUGGUCCAAUUUGGCCUUAUUCUAUAUAUACUCUUCUCACUAAACAAACGCGAGUACUGUAUACAAAAGAAGACUAAAAAUGAUGUUUUUCUUAUUUAAUUUUGUCUACCAAUUUGUGCUCUGCUGACCUGGCCUGAGUGUGACGUUGAAGCUUGUUUGACAACGACCAUGCAUUCUGAUCGAUCUCUUUGUGAUGGGGUAACAUUAAUGUGAUGCUUCUAAUGUCCCUUAAUUUACCAAUCGUGAUAGCGCUCGGCCGCUGGCAACAGUAUUCCUGAAGUUUUUCGCCAAUCAGGUGGUGAUGACCUUGAUCUGGUGUCCCUUGUGUUGGUCUAACAAUCCAUUUGUCGUAUACAAAGGCUCGUUUGUCAACUCGGCUUUGCAUAUCUUUAUGCGUGGGAUGUUUCCAGGAGUGCAUGCAUUUGCAUCGUACUUGACGUAAUAGAUCUCCCUGAUGAUUAUUGUACUGCUAAUAUAGUGGUAGUUGCAAUGUCCCGUGGUGUCAUGGUGAGACCGUGAGAGAGAAAGAUCUACGGAUUUUUUAUGUUUAAGUCUUUUAAGAAAAUAUAUUUUAUAAAUUGACCAUUACAAAACUUAUACUAGUAGAUAUGGGAUAUCCCAGGCCAAAUAUGCUGGCGCCGAACCUCAUCGCUAGUCAUUUUUGGUGUCAACCUCUCCCACAUAAGAAAAACUCGUUUUUCCUUCAAAAUCUUCAGUCCUAAUUCAUUUCCGGUAGAUUUUAUUUUUAAAAUAUCUAGAUGAGGAUAUGAUGUGGGUCCCUAGCUCUUUCCCAUCGCAAUUUUAUUGAUUUUUUUAAUCAGAUUUUGAUUUAGAAAAGAUAAUUGAAUUAGGACACAUGAUUUGUAAUUCUUUUCAAAAAGUUUGACAGAAUUUGGGUGCAAGGAGUGAGAGGGGGAUCGUACACCGUUAUCCCAGAUUAAGAUUUUAUAAAUAUUACUCCCUCUGUUUCAUAUUAUAAGUUGUUUGACUUUUUUUCUAGUCAAAUUUUGUUAAAUUUGAUUAAGUUUAUAGAAAAUUUUAGCAACAUAUAAAAUAUUAAUUUAUUUUCAUUAAAUCUAACAUUGAAUAUAUUUUGAUAUAUGUUUGUUUUGUGUUGAUAAUACUACUAUAUUUUUUCUAUAAAUUUGAUCAAACUUGAAUAGUUUAAGUAGAAAAAAAGUCGAACAACUUAUAAUAUGUAACGAAGGGAGUACAAUAUAUUGAUUUACCAGUUUUUCUAAAAUUUGACAUCAAAUCAAUAGGAGGGGUUGGCACUAAACCGAUUGGCGCCUCGGCACGAAGCAUAUUUGGCGCGUCGUAGACAUCCCACCUCCGUGCCAACGUCCUUAGCGCUGGGUACAUAUUUGCAAUAAGUUUUCUAGAUAAUUUCUUUGUAAAAUAUGUUUCUUAAAAGGGCUAAAAUGUGAAGAAAAUCAGACAAGAUCUAGCUAGAGAGCUGAUACGUGAGUAAUGCAUUACAGUUGCAAUUGCGAAAUCGCAAGUUGUAAUAUGUUUCGUUGCGGCCCUAAAACGUGUACCUAAAACGCUUAGAUAAACAAUUAGAUAAACGCUAGAUAAUCGACGUAAUAAUGAGGGUUCAACUGGAUGGAACUGGGCAGUGGGCACUUAAAAAAUUGUUUGAUUAGGACGGUGGGCCCUGUUCAAACUAGUAUCAUGUGUAGUACAAGUAGGAAGCUUCCUAGUACUCCGAUGCAUUGAUGAUUUUUUAGAUAACGGCAUUGAUGAUUUGAUGUGAUAGUGGCAGUCUAAAUGCCUAAAAAUCAUUCUUUUUUUUAAAAAAAUAGCUUUGCAUAUCAUAUUCGAGUUGGAUUGUCGUUGAAAAGCUGAGAUAAACCGGUGUUGCACAUCUCUGGUUGCCUAUAUAUACCCCAGUAACCCAGUUGGUGUUUCGUCAUGAGCAACGAAAACCCCAAUUAAACAAGUGCAAACCUGUCUUCUGUCCUCCACCUUAGAUUUUCCGGCCAGAUUCGACGAACUGAUCGAUGGACGCCGCCGCCGCUGCCGAGAUCGCAGCCAAGCUGCGCGUACUCGGCGUCUGCGCAGCCUCGACGGCGAUCACCUUGGCCGCCGCAGCCGCCGCCGCCGCCACAUGCGAGCCGCCGCGCUGUGCCCUCGGCAACAGCAUGUGGUACUACUACUACCUCGUGCUCUCGGGGACAUUCCUCGCAGGGAUGAUCCUGAUCGGCGCUUCCGUCUGGGUGUCCGACGACGACCCACGACGGCGGCGGGGUUGCGCCGGCAGCAAGUUGCUGUACGCCGCCGCCCCGCCGCUCAUCGUCGCCGUCGUCGGCCUAUCCUUGUGGCAGCUCUACACUGCCGCUGCUGGUAACUUCUGAUCCCGUACGUCUCGUCGGCCCGCGCCCUACAUCACUGCCGCGCCCGCCGCUUCCUCCAUCAGCCCAUCGGAGACAACACAAAUAGCUAGCCUAGUAGUUUGUUUCGUGCUGAUUGGAAUGUUUUCUUUGCUAGUUGGCCUACGUUGUUUUUUUUAAUGAAUCGGUGAGCCGCCAUUUUCAUUGCAUAGAGGAGAAGUAAAUUUUACAAGUAUGAAGGAAAACUUUACUUCUUCUCUAUUCAAUGUAGAAAUUGAUGGCUUGUUCAUUCGUUAAAAAAAAACAGCAUCUACGUUGUGCUAGAGUAUACGAAUAGAAUAGAAUCGAAUUGUAUCCGGUUUGUUAUGUUAAGAUAGUAUUAGUUUUCUUAUCUAUCUCUCUGAGUUUGCUAGAGAUCCGAUGUAUGUAACCUAUAUAAAUUGGUCCCUGAGGCUCAAUAUAAUGUGUGUAAAUAUAUAUUUACAGUAUUUUCUCUCUUCCUAUACUACUCAAACGUGUUGCGCUUGUGUGUAUCACCAUAUAUCCAUUUGAAUAUUUGGCUAUAUUAAUUCCAGCUGCUCAAGCACAUUUGGGAAGAAUUAAAGGGAGUUUUUUUUUUUGUUUUUUCUGAUUCAGCCGGCCGGGUGAUAGGUUUUCAUUAUUUUGUUUCUAUGAGAGAGAAGCAAAUUAAAGGGAGGUUACCUUACCAUUUCAUGGCGGCAGAAGCAGAAGUAUUGGUCGUUGCAGCACGCCCGGAAGCGUGGGCCGGCGCUCCGGCGGCCAAUCGGCGACGGCGGCUGCGGAAAGUCGCGUCCCACGGGACAACACCUCCGAAGAAUGUGUUUUCCGGGGCAGAAGAUGGUGGACAUGACUGGAACGUGGCUGCUAGUGUUUCGGCCUUGGAGAAGAGAGAAGACUGGGCGGCGAGCUCCGGUGGCGAACGUGAUAAGGUGAGCGCGUCAAAACGUGUUCCCGGAUGAGAAGGUUCCAUUUUUGUGGUUAGUUGAUAGAGACGAAGCACGAUAGGAGCUCGACACAGGUACGGGGAGAAGGGGAAAAAAUAAGGGGUAGCCUCACUGUCUGGAAGAGGCUGGGUGGCGCGAGGAGACGACGAGCGAUAACCAACGGCGGCGACGGAUCGGCUUCACAGUCGGCCUUGGCUGCGGCUAGAGAAAUUCUUGGGAUGGAAACGAGUUUAGCGUUUGGAUGUCUUGCAGAGAAAUAGAGAAGGUGAUUUAUUUAGGCUCCUCUGCUCAUUCACUUUGAAGGGGAGGAGGACUAGAGGUGGGGAAACAAAUGGCACUGUUUGGUGGAGCUUGUCCCAGCUACAGCUUUUCCCAAAAGCUGCUUCUACUAGAAGCUGCCCCAAACAGUCCACAGCUUCUGAGAAUCUGUAGUUAUAUAUUCUGAAAAAUGAACUAAGAAGCCAGAAGCUGAAGAAGCUGGGUUUCAGAGCUUUUCCAGAUUCUCAGAAGCUGAACCCAGAGCUUUUCCAGAUUCUCAGAAGCUGUCUAUCAAACAACUGCUUCUCAGAAUCUAAAACUCCCCAAACAGGCGGGAUGGCUAUGAGUAAAUGCAUGGCUGUUUCGGAGGCGGCUCGGGUGGGCACAUGGAUGGAGCAGCGCAGCGAGGCAACACGCGGCUAUCGCGCGGCUGCCUCAGCUGGGCCAACAACAGCUGUGGGCCGGCACGGCCCAAACAGAGGGAGAUGGUUGGAGGAAGUGAAAAGAAAGGGUGAUGGGCUGGGUUGAGGUAGAUUUCAGCCAAGGGAGAGAGAGUGAUCCAUUUGAAUUUUUCACGAAAUUUUUGAAUAGAUCUUUGGUAGGAUAUUUUCAAAUAGUAAUGGAUGGGAUUUGGUAUCUUGGAAUAUUUGCAUGAUGACUCUGGGCUAACUUCAAAUAAACACAAACUCUUCUGAUGGUUUUGAAAAUUUAAUCUGUGAUAUCUCGGAUUUGGUUUGGAGAGGGAAACUAAAAGAAGUUAUGCGCAGGGUGGAAACUUAGAGGGAACAAAAGGAAUAUAAGAAUUGGGAGGCUCCAAUUCGGAAGAAUGAAGAACAACGAAUUUAAAGAAUUUCGCAAAAAAAUUACCCUGAAAAUUCUAGUAUGUUACAGUAUUCUAGUUUUUUUAUUUUAUAUUGGUAUGUCUGGGAUAAAUUAAAAAUGAAUUCAUCUUGCAACGGAGGGAAUAUUAUGCUAUUUUCUUUUAAAAAAAGUUGCAAAAGGAUAAAUCAUAUUAAAAAUAAGUGGUGGUUAGGGGAAAUAAACUAGUACGGAAGAUAUGUGAAGGGCGUCCACCAAAGUGGAGCUCAAGGCGUCGGCGACCUGCAACACAAGGUCUCCUUGCUUAGCUCUCCAAUGGUGGCGUAGGUCGCAAGGACAUCGAGCGGUGGCAAGGUUGCUUGGAGGCAUGUAGAGAAAAAGAGAAGGAAGAUGUGAUGUUAUUGAUAUAUCAACUACGCGGAGCUUGUCAGCGAGAGAGUGAGCCAUGCGGAGGCAUGCGCAUAGGGCGGAGAGGCACGUGAACUCCACCGCCAGUACCGAGUCGCCGUCACCGUGCGAUUGCUCGCGGGAGGUGGCCAGCGUGGGCUCGGCCACGGACCCAACCCCUUACUCGAGCACGAGGCCAGGGAAGCAGAGCAGCGGGAGGCCUUGCAGUCAUGGUGGGUCACCGUGCAAUGUCCAAGAUGGCAACGACGCUCUUGGACUUCCUUCGAGCCCUGGGCGGAUCUAGAAUAUAACAAGUGGGGGGCCUUGGUCCCCGUUCAAUUUUGCAGUAAGCGAGGGCAACACUUUUUACUUCCUUAAUCCACCUGAUCGGUAGAUCCUUGGCCUCCACUCAUGCUACUUUCUGCCUCCGCCGGCCGUUUCGCCACUUUCGACCGCGUCAUCCAGCGGUCCAUCAUAUCUCGCUAGUCGCAUACGUUGCCGCCUGUGAGGAGAGAGAGGGAGAGGUGGGAAUGUAGGACCCACCACGUAUUUCUUUUCAUAUCUCACUGACAUGCAGGUUUUAUUUGUGGAAACCACUUACCAGACCACUAAAAGAGUCUAUUUGCACCGGUUUUCGAAGAGGGAAAGCGCUAUAUGGAGGAAACUAUGGAUCGGUCGCCCGAUCCCUCUAAACAAAUUUGAGUGGUCAAAUAUUGCAGUUGACCAACAAAUGAAACAUUAAGUUAUAUACGGUAAACAAAAACAAAAUCAACAACUGAAAUAUUUUAAAAAAAUGUGAAACACGGUAAAAAUACACGUUGAAACAUGUCGCUAUCACGUAUAAAACAAAAUAUAGUCAUGCGUUUUUCUUUCAUCAAAAUAUAGUCAUGCGAUAUCUUAUUGUAAAUAUUUAAUUAUAAUGAAUACAACGAUGUGAUCGGAUCAUAGAUUGGGUAAGUAGUUUAAGAGAAAAAUCAUUUCGAAGAUUACUAAAAUGCAUAACUGAUGGAGUGUAGAUAGAUGAGAAAGAGUAGUGUCAUGUACUUCUAUGAAUUUUGUGGAACACACUGAAAACACUCCCUGAAACAUAUGAUUAUAAUGUAUGAAACAUUCUGUUUUAACGGUUUGAAACAAAUAUCUUUAUUUUAUGAGAAUAUAAUUAUAUGAUAUCUUGUUGGAAAGAUUUAAUUAUAGCAAAUGCAACCGUGUGAUCGAAUAUAAAUAGUUUAGGAGAAAAAAUAUUUAAAGAGAGGAGAAAAGAAGAAAAAGAAACUACUUCUUUCGUUUCACAAUAUAAGUCAUUCUAACAUUUCCCACAUUCAUAUUGAUGCUAAUGAAUCUAGAUAGAUAUAUAUGUAUAGUACCGGUUGUUAAAAUUAGGUCCGCUUGCCUAGGACUUGAUCUUGGUUUGGUACCAAUCCAUAACGAUCAAAGUCGAAUCGCGAGCCUGAAGCAAAUUCAAUGAAACAACAACCAUAUAGAAAGGGCCAUAAACAGGAUAGUCUUGACCAAUUUGAAAAAUCAUUUGGUGUAGUUGAAAUAACAGAAUUGGAAGUUGUUCGGUCAAGUAUAGGAAAUUAAUAUAAGAAUGGAUAACUUUCUCAAUGGUUUAUUUUCUUUCUUUUAUUUAUCUUAAUAUUCAUUCCAUUUAGGCCAUUCCAAUGCUCGCAAGCAAGCACGAAAAAGCUUAUAUUUCUAAACGGAAACGCCCAAUACAUCGAAACUCAUUACCCAUGGCCAGUCGAGAAAAAAAAUAAAACAAACAUGGUUUAGCGUAUUCGGAUUGUAACCAAGCAUCCUGGGUUCUAUACCAUAUUCAACACUAGAGCAUGUAGCCGAUCCUGGAUACAGAACUAUAUAAAGUGUGCAGUGAGGGAUCUUUAUUGGUAGCCAGUCUUUCACUUCCGCCUCUCCACUCCCAUGUCUUUCUUGGUCGGACCAACCCAACCGGCGAUUU